AGUUCCAGCAGGGAGAGCCUGCCGGCAGGCAGCAGCCCUGAGCACCCAGCCUGAGCCGGCCGGCGUGUCCUGCGAGCCACAGCUCCUUCCUGCUGGCGGCUUCCGUCCUGCAGCAGCCCUGCCCCAGCCCGGGGCUGCCCCGCCCAUGUCCCAGGCUUGGUGACAACAGUGGAGUGGACGUCAAGGGCCCAGGCUUCCUUCAGCCCCUCCUGGCCUCUGCCUCACCCAGCCCCCUUACCCUGCGGCUGCCUGCCCUGGGCCCAGCCCCCUUGCUCCCCAGCCCCAGUCCCUCCUCUCCCUGGACCCAGCUUGCGACCUUCAACCUGGCAGAUGGACAUGUGCUCUCUGCUGUGGCCUGGGAAAGCAGUAGAAGAUGGCCCAAGUGCUUGGGCCCCUGCACCCACCUGGGAGACCCGGCAGAAGCUCCUGGCUCCUGGCUUCGGAUCGAGGCAGCUCAGGCCGUUGAGGCCAACUGGGGAGUGAACCAGUGGAUAGAAGACCUCUCUCUCUGUCUCUAUUUCUCUCUGUAACUCUGUCUUUGAAAUAAAUAAAAUAAAUCUUUUAAAAAAAAUAAAGAAACCGGAACCACA